GACCCCUUUCUAUGGGGACCCCAUAGGCUGGUCUGUUCCCGUGUGUCAAGAGCUGAUGACACACCUCUGCCAGCAGUUUUACAUUUGGAAGGGAAGUGCUUAGAAGAAAUGAAUCUAUAAUGGUACAGUUUGGUGGUCCCUGUGUAAACAGUAUCUUCAUAGCUCUCAGAGGAGGAGCCGUCCGAUGGUGGCCCGUGUGUGACAGUCCGUGUAGCACAUACAUUCGAGGAAGAACCUUAUGUAAGAAAAACCUGAUUUUGUCCUCAGGGUUUUUCUGGGCUCCUUCCAGAAAUGUUCUCCUGCCUCUGAAAGUCCAAAGUGGGUGACCAAGACCCAUUCCCCAUAGGAAUCAUCUCCAACAAAUUCUGAGAGAAAUGGGAAAUUUCGAGGAAAAAGAGAGAGAGAGAGUAAAGGGGAUUUUUUUCUUUUAAUUUUUAGUCUACUUAGGAAAGCGUGUGCCUGGGCACCGACCGUGUCCCUGGUGAUGUCCUUUCGUAAGCCAGGUGUGUUUGGAGGCAUCCUCCUGGCCUUUCCGUCUCAGCCAGGCAUGACUCAGAGCAGAUGACUCACCCGUGGCAAAGUGACCGACGAGCUGGGGGAAAAAUGAGAAUUAGAAACAGCAGAACAAAGGGAAAAUGCCAGAGUAAAUGAGCUUGGAGGGCUGCUGUUCAGCUGACAUCCUUGAAUUAGGGGUUUGGGGGUGAAGCCAGGAAGCUAAGAUACAAAAAUAGGGCCCCCUAAAAGGGGAGAAAGCCUCGUGAGAGGAGAAAACCAAAUUGUGAGUUAGUAGUAAAUAUCAAGAAUGAAGCGAAAGAAUCAAAUGAGAUCAAACCCGUGACAAACCUGAGCCACCCCCUCUCCCAGUUUUUGAACUUAAUUUGUGUGAUGCGGCAAAGGAGACAGGAGAGCGGGUCUGCGCCCCGUCAUUCUUAGGAUCCCGAGGCUCGAUUUGGAUAAUGAAAUAGGGCUUCAUUUAUCUGCUGUUGUGGAGGAAAGGAAGAUUCCACGUAAUUGAAAUUUCAAUGCGAGUAGAAUUAACGAGACUCAUCUGUCCUGUGGGAAGGAAGUAGCGUCUCUGACUUCAUCUCCUGACCUCUUCUAAAUAACCCCGCCAGGCGACAGGAGUGGCCAAAAGCCAAGGGGUCCCAUGAGGCGGACGCCUCCUGCUUGGUGGUCCUGCUUCUGUCCUUUCCCGCGUGCCAGUCCUCUUGCCACGCAGCCGCGACGGUGCAGCAUCUUUGCGAAGUGUUCUAGAGGGACUCGGUGGUCAGUGCCGUUCGGAGCCUGUUUUCAUCAGAGCAUCUUGACGCACAAGGUUCCCUGUGCCCAACGAUGUAAACCGUCUCAUGGAGGAACGUAUGUAUUGUCAGAGGUCUGUUGUGAUCACUCUCGAUGGGACUCACUUUUGGGGUACAGUGAUGCCAGAGAGAGAAGGGUUUUCGAUCAGAAGCAGUUAACCGGAUGAGAUUCUUCGGUGUUGUUGCUGCUUGGAGUUCAUACAGAUCAGGGACUUUCAACUGGGGGCAGCGUCUAGGGACGUUUGUGGUUGUCACGGC
ensembl:lncRNA